rnacentral:rRNA from 1 species
GACGAACGCUGGCGGCGUGCUUAACACAUGCAAGUCGAACGGAAGGGCCCUGCUUUUGUGUGGUGCUCGAGUGGCGAACGGGUGAGUAACACGUGAGUAACCUGCCCUUGACUUUGGGAUAACUUCAGGAAACUGGGGCUAAUACCGGAUAGGAGCUCUUGCUGCAUGGUGGGGGUUGGAAAGUUUCGGCGGUUGGGGAUGGACUCGCGGCUUAUCAGCUUGUUGGUGGGGUAGUGGCUUACCAAGGCUUUGACGGGUAGCCGGCCUGAGAGGGUGACCGGCCACAUUGGGACUGAGAUACGGCCCAGAAUGCUACGGGAGGCAGCAGUGGGGAAUAUUGCACAAUGGGCGGAAGCCUGAUGCAGCAGCGCCGCGUGCGGGAUGACGUCCUUCGGGUUGUAAACCGCUUUCGCCUGUGACGAAGCGUGAGUGACGGUAAUGGGUAAAGAAGCACCGGCUAACUACGUG